GGAUCCCGCGGUGGAGGCCUGCGACCCGGCUCCCGCUCCAGCCCGCGGGAGAGACGCAUCCAAGCGUAUUAGCAAGAUCCAGCUGCCGACCCCUCCAUUCCGCUCGCUGGCGACAGCGGCGGCGCCCACUUCCAGAGGUGUCAGGUCAGCGGGUUGCGGAGGAUUGUGCAGGUAGCAAAGGGUGAGCAAGUUCUCCAGAGGCUCCAGUCGGCAUCCAGAACAUGCAUCAUUCUUAGAACUAUCACUCUGCAGCUGGCUGGAAUAAAAAGGCCCAUCAGCUGCAAAUGGAUAGAAGAAUCUGAUAUUAGUGAAGACAGAGAUCCAGGACUUCUACCUGGAGCUACAUCCUCUAGAAGCCCCUGUUCCAAGCACCCAACCCCAUCCUACCGGUCACAACGAGGGCUGUGUGUGGCGUUUCUUGAAAACUCGGAACACAGAUUCCUUCAGAAGCUCCACAGUGGGCAGGAAACUACAGAAACUGGCUACUGAAGAGGUUGUCCACGUGCUAGAGCUCCUCUAGAAGAAAGAGAGUAACUGAGUGCUGGAUGUUAUUCAUUCAUGCUUCCCACCUGCAUGGACUGCAGAGGGCGCUGUCAGACCCAGCUUCAGUAAGAGCCACCCUCUAAAGAUCUCCACAGGAGGCUUCACCAGAGACAGGUGGUCAGCCCAGGGUCUCUACUGCCUUAGGUCCUACGUGGACAUCUUCACAGCUGAGUGGAAUAGUAUUUCUUCACCUGCCUGUGCUCCACACAGCAAAAGGGAAAUUCUGCCUUCUGCUCUCUUUUGUUCCUGUGAUUUUUUUUCUUUUCUUUCUUUUUUUUGGGGGGUAGGAAGAGUUUUAACUAUUUCAAUUCCUUUAGUAGUUAAAGGACUGUUCACGAUUUCUUUUUCUUCUUGAGCCAGUUUUGGCAAGUUAUUGUUUGAUAAGCACUGGUUCAUUUUGUCUGUUGUCUCAAUUUAUUGGCACAAAGUUCCCUUGGCUUUUUUUUUAUUCUCUGCUGUAUAUAAUUUGUAGUUAUGUCUC